rnacentral:rRNA from 1 species
CCUACGGGAGGCAGCAGUGAGGAAUAUUGGUCAAUGGCCGGAAGGCUGAACCAGCCAUGCCGCGUGAAGGUCAGUGCCCUAUGGGCGUUAAACUUCUUUUGUGCGGGAGCAAUAAUGGUCACGUGUGGCCAGACGAGAGUACCGUACGAAUAAGCAUCGGCUAACUCCGUGCCAGCAGCCGCGGUAAUACUGGGGAUGCAAGCGUUAUCCGGAUUUAUUGGGUUUAAAGGGUGCGUAGGCUGUGAGGUAAGUCAGCGGUGAAAUGCCCCCGCUCAACGGGGUGAAGUGCCAUUGAUACUGCCUGGCUGGAAUGCGGAUGCCGUGGGAGGAAUGUGUGGUGUAGCGGUGAAAUGCAUAGAUAUCACACAGAACACCGAUUGCGAAGGCAUCUCACGAAUCCGCGAUUGACGCUGAUGCACGAAAGCGUGGGUAUCAAACAGGAUUAGAUACCCUAGUAGUC